UGGGGAAUAUUGGACAAUGGGCGCAAGCCUGAUCCAGCCAUGCCGCGUGAGUGAUGAAGGCCCUAGGGUUGUAAAGCUCUUUCAGCGAGGAGGAUAAUGACGUUACUCGCAGAAGAAGCCCCGGCUAACUUCGUGCCAGCAGCCGCGGUAAUACGAAGGGGGCUAGCGUUGUUCGGAAUCACUGGGCGUAAAGCGCACGUAGGCGGACUUUUAAGUCAGGGGUGAAGUCCCGGGGCUCAACCUCGGAACUGCCUUUGAUACUGGAAGUCUGGAGUCCGAGAGAGGUGAGUGGAACUCCGAGUGUAGAGGUGAAAUUCGUAGAUAUUCGGAAGAACACCAGUGGCGAAGGCGGCUCACUGGCUCGGUACUGACGCUGAGGUGCGAAAGCGUGGGGAGCAAAACAGGAUUAGAUACCCUGGUAGUCCACGCCGUAAACGAUGGAAGCUAGCCGUCAGGGUGCAUGCAUCUUGGUGGCGCAGUUAACGCAUUAAGCUUCCCGCCUGGGGGAGUACGGUCGCAAGAUUAAAAAC
rnacentral:rRNA from 1 species